CCUACGGGCGGCAGCAGUAGGGAAUAUUCGGCAAUGGGGGGAACCCUGACCGAGCAACGCCGCGUGAACGAAGAAGUUAUUCGGAAUGUAAAGCUCUUUUAACAGGGAAGAAAGAGACAUUAGACGGUACCUGAAGAAUAAGCCCCGGCUAACUACGUGCCAGCAGCCGCGGUAAUACGUAGGGAGCGAGCGUUAUCCGGAUUUAUUGGGCGUAAAGGGUGCGUAGAUGGCAUAGUAAGUCUGUUGUAAAAAUGGUGGGCUCAACCCAGUAGGGCAAAGGAUACUGUACAGCUAGAGUAUGACAGAGGCAAGUGGAACUACUAGUGUAGCGGUAAAAUGCGUAGAUAUAAGUAAGAACACCAGUGGCGAAGGCGGCUUACUGGAUCGAUACUGACGUUGAGGCACGAAAGCGUGGGGAGCAAACAGGAUUAGAUACCCGUGUAGUC
rnacentral:rRNA from 1 species